UGCAUCGAUGACAAGAAGUACAGAGGGAUGCAUUUGGCUCCCACUUUUGAGGUUCCUUCCAUGAGCAGGCACCCUUAAUUGAGGAUGAAAAGGUGUUUCCUGCUCAAGGACUGUUACCACUUCAAUAUUUUGUUUUUGUAUGAGAUGUUUGUGUACAGAGGUCGCACUUGGUGCGAUGGCAAGUGCCUUCGCCCAUGAGCGGUAGGUCUCGGGUUCGAGACUGGGGAGCAGCCUCUCCAUAAAUGGGGGUAAGGCUAGCCGACAUUCACCUCUCCCAGACCCUGCGUAAAGCGGGAGCCUUGUGCACUGGGUACGACCUUUUUAUGAGAUGUUUGUGUGUGUGUCUGGUCUAUUAGAAAUUAAUUACCUUCUAGUUAGUUUUCGUCCCCUGAUCCUCUUCUUGGCUGGAUCUCUGGUCUUUUGCAGCUUCCCACACCAUUAUCUAAUAUUGCAACUCACGUGGUUAUCAACCCGAAACUCAGUGCUUUUGGAUUGCACUUGCAUUUUCAGAGAUUCUUUGAUAGUCCUUCCUUGCAUAAUGUGUGAGCCAGUUCUUUGUCAGUCCUUCCUUACAUAAUUUGUGGGGCUGUUUGGUGUUGGCAGUUUUUUGGAACAUUUGGUUGGAGCGUAAUAGAAGAGUUUAUGAGGAUUAUAAUGGAGUGGGGCUAGAAGAACUAUGGGGUACAGUAAGAUACUGGUCAGCCCUCUGGGCAUCAGUUUAUGAGUUCAGGGAUUAUUCUCUCUCAUAUAGUAUGGGAUAUGUUAGCAGCCGUAAAAUGAUUUUGGUUCAGUUUUAGUUACUUGUAAAUAGAUCUACUUGAGAGGUCUUAGCUAGUUUUGCUAGAUGGUGAAUUUCUUAUCCACUGUUUUGUAAUUCAUGUUAUUAUUUCAAUAAAUUGUUAUCGUUUCUUCACAAAAAAAAGUA
rnacentral:lncRNA from 1 species